AUCAAUUGCGUUUUUGUACUUCCAUGAAAGUUCAACAAACUAAUAGACAAGUUGUGAACGAAACCGAAUACUCAACUUAUUAUUUUCAUUUGAAAAGGAUGCAUUCUGAAGACAAAUGCAACAUAACAUUGGUGGAAGAGCCUCAUUGGCGUGGCACUGGAUAUGAAACCUGUCUUUCAUGCUAACCCACUGAGCAUUUAAUUGCUGAUCUGGCAAACAAUAAAAAAAAAGGAGAUGAACUAACAUAAAAGAAAAGGAAGCUGAAUUUUUAGGUGAUUUUAAGAUUUUGAUUAAAGCUGCCUGCUCAAAUUUCAUGACCAUUACUGGUGACUUGCUCUUUAUAUUGCUGCUGUUGUGCCAUAUCUUUCUUUUUCUUUUUUCUUUAAUGGGAAAGAUGAUUAUUACUAAUGGAAUGAGAAAUACAAAAGAAGAGUGUGGGGUCCCCAAGAAAAUCACCCAAAAACAACAGAAAUAGCGCUGGAGAUAAAGAAAAAUUUGAGGAAUGGUAAAAUGGUUGGACCUAUGAUUGGCCAUCAUGAAGAUAUUUGCUUGAGCAAUCCACUGGUUGGAAUGCUUAGAAUCAUCUAUUGCGGGUGCAACCCGUAUUAGGAGUGUGCGCAAUGAGUUCAGCUAUGUUAUUUAUUUUUUUCUUUCAUUUAGUCAUUGUUUUGGUUUGUUCAAUUUAGCAAAUUAAGUGAAAAAUGUUUGGGCCAUGUUUUAUUUUCUCUAGUCUUGGACAAAAUGAAGACUCAUGUUUAUGCUGCCAAAGAUCUUGUGAUUAUCUUUAUUUACUU